GUCCAGACUCCUACGGGAGGCAGCAGUGGGGGAUAUUGCACAAUGGGGGAAACCCUGAUGCAGCGACGCCGCGUGUGGGAAGACGGUCCUCUGGAUUGUAAACCACUGUCCCCAGGGACGAAGAUGACGGUACCUGGGGAGGAAGCUCCGGCUAACUACGUGCCAGCAGCCGCGGUAAUACGUAGGGGGCAAGCGUUAUCCGGAUUUACUGGGUGUAAAGGGAGCGUAGACGGCGAUGCAAGUCUGAAGUGAAAGCCCGGGGCUCAACCCCGGGACUGCUUUGGAAACUGUAUGGCUGGAGUGCUGGAGAGGCAAGCGGAAUUCCUAGUGUAGCGGUGAAAUGCGUAGAUAUCAGGAGGAACACCGGUGGCGAAGGCGGCCUGCUGGACUGCAACUGACGUUGAGGCCCGAAAGCGUGGGGAGCAAACAGGAUUAGAUACCCUAGUAU
rnacentral:rRNA from 1 species